rnacentral:rRNA from 1 species
UACGUAGGGGGCUAGCGUUGUCCGGAUUCACUGGGUUUAAAGGGUGCGUAGGCGGGUUGGUAAGUCAGUGGUGAAAUCUCCAGGCUUAACUUGGAAACUGCCAUUGAUACUAUCAAUCUUGAAUACCGUGGAGGUCAGCGGAAUAUGUCAUGUAGCGGUGAAAUGCUUAGAUAUGACAUAGAACACCAAUUGCGAAGGCAGCUGGCUACACGAAUAUUGACACUGAUGCACGAAAGCGUGGGGAGCAAACAGG